rnacentral:rRNA from 1 species
CAGUAGCCACGGUAAUACGUAGGGUGCAAGCGUUAAUCGGAACUACUGGGCGUAAAGCGUGCGCAGGCGGUUGUGUAAGACAGGUGUGAAAUCCCCGGGCUUAACCUGGGAACUGCGCUUGUGACUGCACAGCUAGAGUAUGGCAGAGGGGGGUGGAAUUCCACGUGUAGCAGUGAAAUGCGUAGAGAUGUGGAGGAACACCGAUGGCGAAGGCAGCCCCCUGGGCCAAUACUGACGCUCAUGCACGAAAGCGUGGGGAGCAAACAGGAUUAGAUACCCCCGUAGUCCCUGUCUCUUAUAC